UACGAAGGGGCUAGCGUUGUUCGGAAUUACUGGGCGUAAAGGGCUCGUAGGCGGCCAACUAAGUCCGACGUGAAAUCCCCAGGCUUAACCUGGGAACUGCGUCGGAUACUGGAUGGCUUGAAUCCGGGAGAGGGAUGCGGAAUUCCAGGUGUAGCGGUGAAAUGCGUAGAUAUCUGGAGGAACACGGUGGCGAAGGCGGCAUCCUAGGACCAGCAUUGACGCUGAGGAGCGAAA
rnacentral:rRNA from 1 species